UGCCACUUUCAUGCUAAAAGUUGUGGAAGUAAGUCAAAAUGUGCUAGAGGAUGAUAAAAUAGCAGCACAUCCUUCUUUUGAAAGGGCCCAAAAACAUGACCUUUAUCAUAAUCAGAAGCCUAAGAACACAUGACUUACACCAUUACAACUAAAUAUGUUAUAGUGCUAAUUCUUUGAGACAUACCACAAGAAAAUGUUUGAUGCAGAUAUCUGUUAAGAUGUACAAUUCAAAACUUCACUUGAAUUGUUUUCUUAUCCUAUCGUUGUUUGUUGUGAACAAUGUGUUUCUGUUUAUUGCGCAUGAUAUUUGGUGCAAUUUUCUAUACCUAUUCUCUUGUGCUUGUGAACAAUGUGUUUCAGUUUAUUGCGCAUGAUAUUUGGUGCAAUUUUCUAUAGCUACUCUCUUGUGCUUGGAAUGCCAUUUGGUCAGCCUAUUCAUAAUUAUUUGCUCCUUUUUACUAGGCGGGUGUUGGAGGUCCCCUUGUAAAUUACAGUGGUGAUGUUGUGGGUAUCAAUUUCUACGGAGAAAACCACACACCCUUUCUUUCAACGGGAGUUAUUGUAAGAUGCUUGGAACAUUGGAGAAAAUAUGGGUAUACACAUUUCUAUACCAACACUACAAGAUAUCUUAUUUUUAGCACCCUUGCAUAUGAUGUUGCUUUGUUUUGAUUUGUAGAAAAAUAAUUCGACCUUGGCUUGGAAUCAUGUACAAGCCUAUUGAUAUGUUGCCACUUCGUGUUUUGGAGAAAUGUGCAUAUCUUGGCAAGGGGUUGUAUAUUUCAGAUGUAUGAAACUCUUCUUUUUAUCGUUUGUUACUUAUUACCAUACUAGUUCAUGAAAGAUCAAAUCAUUUUUUUUCAGGAUGAUAUAUUUUUUGUGUGGAUAGCAUUUGUAGGCAUUUUCACUAUUAUGAACACAAACUCUUUGGUACUCAUCUUCUCUGGAUUUCUCAACUUUAGUGGAAUAUGAUAAUUUCUGGAAAACAUAAUUUUUAGUGGCAAAAGCAUCCCAAGUAUAAGGGUGUGAAUGGACUCAGUGGAGAUACAUUUUGAACGUGUUCAUGAAAAGCUAGUUAUUUAGUUUUUUUUUUCUAAAUGCAGGGUUGCUCAAAAUGCUAAUACUUGACUAUAUGUGCAAUUCUAAUUUUUAUGUUCUUUAUGUGGAUUCUAAAAUCUCAAGAGUGAUGGUAGUGAUAUUCAUAUUUUGACAAGGCAGACUUAAUAAUUUGGUAAUUAGGUGGCCGAGGGAUCACCUGCCGAUGUAGCUGGGGUUUGUGUUGGUGAUGUUUUGGUCGAAUAUGCUGGAGAAGUUAUCUGUAGUGCUCCAAAGUUUGGUGCAAUGUUGAUGGAUAUGUGUGAGGAAACACUCGAGGCAGAUACUUUAAGAAGCAACGUGACUAUUGAGGUAUUUUUUCUAUAUUACUCGAGCAAUUAGGAUUGUUGCCAUAUGUUCUAACCAUCGAAUGUUGGACAUUUUCACUAGGUCGUUUUAAGAAAUCACGGGGAUGGCAGCAUAGUGAGGAAGACGUUGCAUGCUGAUGCUUUAAGCGAGUUCAAUUACUAUAGAUGGCUAGAUACAUUGCCGAACUACAAUCGCAAUGUUUAUGCUAGAGAACAGUUUAUGGAAUUAUAAUAAGGUACGGUGAUACUACACUAACAUUAUUUGUUGCAUUUUUAGUUCCAUUUCUGUUCACUUGACUAUUUCCUCUUUGGUGGAGCCUGAAAUUUGUCCGAACCCACUUCAUGCAUUCUGUUCUUAAAUAUUCCCUCCGUUUCAAAAUGUAAGGUGUAUUUGUAUUUAAAACAGUCAAACAUGUGCAUGUUUGACCAAGUUUCUAGAAAAAAAUAUCAAUAUCUACGAUACCAAAUUUAUAUCAUCUGAUCCAACAUGAAAAAUAUUUUCAUAUUUUAUCUAUUAGGUAUUCAAUAUGUUGAUAUUUUCUUCUAGAACUUAGUCAAACAUACAAUCAUUUGACUUCGUGAAAACUGAUGCACCUUAUAUUCUAGAACGGAGGGAGUAUGUUGGUUCUUUUCGGACACUUCAACUUAUGUCCAUGUGUUUUUUGCCCUCUUCCCCAUUGCAGCAUGAUGUUCUUUUAUUGGUACUCAUACUCAUGUAUUUGCUAUUGCUUUUAUAUGCAACAGGAGACAAAGUCUAGGUUUUGUUGAACAUAAUGGGAUUUUCCUUCCUGCGUGUACUGAUGUCUAUGAAGCUCCCUCUCUAAUGCCAUCGCCCUGAGCAACUUCAGCCUCAUGACAAGUAAUUUUUUUUGUUAAUGGCGUGUUCACAAGAAAGUGGUAUUGCAUCAACUAAUAUGAAGAUGCACCCGAGACUACGUCCUCAUGGGUGAAAAAGACAAAUUACAAUUUUCUAGGUGAAAAAUGUUUCAUCAAUAUUAGUCAUGUAAAUAUAUUUGAGCCACACACAUUGCAAUUUUUCAUGAAGAAGAAAUAUUUGAGCCACAAAUGUUGCAACUUUUCAUGAAAAAGCAUUGCUAUUUUGGGGAACGGAAUUUACUUCUUUUUUGUUACCGGAGUGCAAUAC